rnacentral:rRNA from 1 species
GGGCCCGCACAAGCGGAGGAACAUGUGGUUUAAUUCGAUGAUACGCGAGGAACCUUACCCGGGUUUGAACGUACCCCGACGUACCCUGAAAGGGGUAUUCCAGCAAUGGCGGGGUGCGAGGUGCUGCAUGGUUGUCGUCAGCUCGUGCCGUGAGGUGUCGGCUUAAGUGCCAUAACGAGCGCAACCCUUAUCGUCAGUUACUAACAGGCAAGGCUGAGGACUCUGGCGAGACUGCCAGCGUAAGCUGUGAGGAAGGUGGGGAUGACGUCAAAUCAGCACGGCCCUUACAUCCGGGGCGACACACGUGUUACAAUGGUGGGGACAAAGGGCAGCUAUCCGGCGACGGAAUGCCAAUCUCGAAACCCCAUCUCAGUUCGGAUCGGAGUCUGCAACUCGACUCCGUGAAGCUGGAUUCGCUAGUAAUCGCGCAUCAGCCAUGGCGCGGUGAAUACGUUCCCGGGCCUU